GUUAAAAAGCUCGUAGUUGGAUUUCGGAAGGUCCUUAGCAGUCCGCCCCUUCGGGGAGCGGGUUGCUGGCCUCCUAUGUUCCUAACGGUCCUCAUCCGCGAGGGUGGGGAAUCAACCGCUAGGAUCGUUUACUUUGAGGAAAUUAGAGUGUUCAAAGCAGGCGUAACUCGCCUCCGAAUACGUUAGCAUGGGAUAAUGGAAUACGACUUCGGUCUUGUUUCGUUGGUUUCGCUUGGCUGAAGUAAUGAUUGAUAGGGACAGUUGGGGGCAUUAGUAUUUAGUUGUCAGAGGUGAAAUUCUAGGAUUUACUAAAGACUGACCAAUGCGAAAGCAUUUGCCAAGGAUGUUUUCAUUAAUCAAGAACGAAAGUAGGGGGAUCGAAGACGAUCAGAUACCGUCGUAGUCUCUACCGUAAACUAUGCCGACCAGGGAUCCGGAGAGUUUGCAUGGAUGACUCCCCGGGCACCUUGUGAGAAAUCAUAAGUGUUUGGGUUUUGGGGGGAGUAUGGUCGCAAGGCUGAAACUUAAAGGAAUUGACGGAAGGGCACCACCAGGAGUGGAACCUGCGGCUUAAUUUGACUCAACACGGGGAAACUUACGAGGUCAGGACACUGUGAGGAUUGACAGAUUGA
rnacentral:rRNA from 1 species